rnacentral:rRNA from 1 species
UGGGGAAUAUUGCACAAUGGGGGAAACCCUGAUGCAGCGACGCCGCGUGAGCGAAGAAGGCCUUCGGGUCGUAAAGCUCUUUUAUAUGGGAAGAUAAUGACGGUACCAUAAGAAAAAGCCCCGGCUAACUACGUGCCAGCAGCCGCGGUAAUACGUAGGGGGCCAGCGUUGUCCGGAAUCACUGGGCGUAAAGGGUUCGCAGGCGGCAAUGCAAGUCAGAUGUAAAAGGCAAAGGCUCAACCUUUGUAAGCAUCUGAAACUGUAUAGCUUGAGAAGUGUAGAGGCAAGUGGAAUUUUUAGUGUAGCGGUGAAAUGCGUAGAUAUUAAAAAGAAUACCGGUGGCGAAGGCGACUUGCUGGGCACAAUCUGACGCUGAGGAACGAAAGCGUGGGGAGCAAACAGG